AUAUAUUCUUUUUCAUAUUAUUUUCCGCUACGGUUUAUUACAGGAUAUUGAGUAUAGUUCCCUGUGCUAUACAGUAGGACUCUGUUGUGUAUCCAAGUUAUAUAUUAUCUCAAACUCCUAAUAUCUCCCUCCCUCAUCCCCUUUCCCCUUUGGUUACUGUAAGUUUGUUUCCUGUCUGUGAAUUUGUUUCCGUUUGGUAAACAGGUUCAUUUGUGUCAUAUUUUAGAUCCUACAAAUAAGUGAUAUCAAUAGUAUUUGUCUUUCUCUUUCUGACUUACUCCACUUAGUAUGAUAAUGUCUAGGUCCACUCAUGUUGCUGCAAAUAUAUUAUGUGAUAUAUACAGAUAUAUUACAUCUUCUCUGUCCAGUCCCCUGUUGGUGGACAUGGAGGUUGCUUCCAUGUCUUGGCUAUUGUAAAUAGUGCUGCAGUGAACAUUGAGAUGCAUGUAUCAUUUCAAAUUAGCAUUUUCUGGAUAUAUGUCCAGGAGUGGGAUUGCUAGAUCCUAUGGCAAUGUUAUUUUUAGUGUUUUAAGGAACCCUCCGUCCUGUUCUCUAUAGUGGCCACACCAAUUUACAUUCCUGCCAGCAGUGUAGAAGGAUUGCCUUUUCUCCCCACCCUCUCCAGCAUUUGUUUGUAGACUUUUUAAUGACGUUAAGGAGAAUUUCUUUGGCUUGACCUCUCCAUCUUUCCCCUCCUCUAUCGCUGCACCUCUCAAGGCACUCAAGGCCCAACUUACCCCAGACUUCCUCCCUCCCGGAAGGGUCUCCUGACCUCUCCAGCCUCAUAGCCUGCUCGCACUGACCUCCAACCAGCCUGCUGCAAAGCUCUAGGCUCACAUUUAGGGCGUUCCUGCCUCCUGUCAGUCACCGAGGCUGGUAAGUGCUCCCACAUGCCCACUCCCUGAAAGACAGACGAGGCAACCCCAUUGAAAGGGAAGACACAGGCUCAGCGAGGUUCCGUAACGUCCCCCAGAUUACCUAGCUGGUUAGUGAAAUAACCGAGACUUAAAUUCAAGACUGACAACCGACCUCAAAACCUUUGCUCUAAACCAGGAGCCAGCAAACUAUAUGGGCCUGAAGGCCAAAUUCUGCCCACUAUCUGUUUUUCUACAGCUUGAGAGCUAAAAAUGGUUUUCACAUGACCGGGGGCGGGGGGGGAUCAAAAGAAACAUAAGAUUUUGGCACAUGUGAAAAUCACAGGAAACUAACAUUUCAGUGUCCAUUAAUAACGUUUUAUUGGACAUGGUGGUGUGGUGGUUGUUUUCAUCAUGGCAUGCAGCAGCUUGAUGUGGGAUCUCAGUUCCCAGACCAGGGAUUGAACCCAGGCUGCAGCGGUAAAAGCACUGAGUCCUAACCACUAGACCACCAGGGAACUCCCUUAAUAAAGUUUUCUUGGCGCACACCAACACCCAUUCAUUUAGAUCUCUUUGAUGGCUUUUUCGUGAACUACAGUGGCAGAGCUGAGUCGUAGUGACAGGGACCAGCCUACAAGGGUUCCCAUUUGGCCCUUCACAGAAGACCUUUGCCGACCCCUGCUCCGAAAGGCACCAUUGAUGAGCCACAGCUCCACGGAGUUCUGAACACCCUGCCUGCCUUGACAGGCUGCUGUCUUUCUCUGGGUGCUGAGCCCACUGUAGGAUCUCAGAGGGAAAACAAAAUAGAUUUUAGCCCCCUUUGGACUUCCAGGUACUAAAGAUGUGCACCAGAAGUUCCCGUCGUGGCACAGCGGAAACGACCCCGACUAGGAACCGUGAGGUUGUGGGUUCGAUCCCUGGCCUUGUUCAGUGGGUUAAGGAUCCAGCGUUGCGGUGAGCUGUGGUUGUAGGUCACAGGCGCAGCUCAGAUCCUGCAUUGCUGUGGCUGUGGCAUAGGCUGGCAGCUGCAGCUCCGAUUGGACCCCUAGCCUGGGAACCUCCAUAUGUCACUGGUGCAGCCUUAAAAAGACAAAAGACAAAAAAAAAAAAAAAAAAAGAUUUGCCCCAGAUGGGACUGAAGUUUCAACACCUGAGAAGGACGAAAAAAUUCUAAACCAACCCCUCCUGGCGUCCCCCAGGCUGAGCCAGGCUGUUCACCCAGGGGGGGCAGUGGGAGACCUUUGUCCAGACAGGCUCUGACUCAUCUGGAGUGCGCUCUGCCUCUUGUUUGGUUUUCAAGGAACCAGCUUCAAGGAAAGAAGCAGAAGAAUUGGGUCUUAUCCAGAAGAAUAAGACUGAGAGCUGUCCUGGCGACUAAGUGGGAUCUAGAAAGAAAGCGCUGAGCCUGAAUGAAGGCUGGCACGUAGUAGGUGCUUGAUGACCUGCAGCUUUUGUGAGGAGGAGGAGGAAGAGGAGGUGGAGGGAAAAUGGGGAAUUCUGGAAGCUCCAGGCUUUUGCUUGCCUGAAUGGGGCUUUUGUGUGACAGAAAAAGGCUCCCCUUCCUCCAGCGCCCACCAGGACACCCUUGGGGAGUGGAGUGGGAACUCUUAGCCCCAACUCCCACCCCCAGGGUCGGGUGCUUUUGCGCAGUGCAUGCACCUCACAGCUUCACAGCUGCAGGUGGCAGCCCCGCUGGACCUGAGAGGAGGGAGGGAGACGCUGAGUGGGGUUUCCUGAGUUUCCCCCUCUAACUCUGCAGCCAUCGCAGGCCAGUCCACAAACCUUCCUGCACUUCAGUUUCCUCGUCUGUAUAAUGGGGAUGCUUGUCUCCCUCUGGCAGUUCUGAGGAUGAAAUGAGGGAGCAGAUGUGGAAAUCAGGGGGGAAGGGGUUUUUUGUGCUUUUUGCCUUUUUAGGGCCACACCCGUGGCAUAUGGAGUUUCCCAGGCGAGGGAGUCAAAUCGGAGCUACAGCUGCCAGCCUACACCACAGCACAGCAAUGCAGGAUCCAAGCCAUGCCUACGACCUACAACACAGCUCACGGCAACACUGGAUCCUUAACCCACUGAGUGAGGCCAGGGAUCGAACCUGCAACCUCAUGGUUCCCAGUCAGAUUCUCUCCGCUGAGCCACGACGGGUUUUGAUGUUAACCAAACGACCAAAUGGAAGCCUGCCAUUCAGGGUCGUCCAGAAGCUGCUAUUUACAGAAAGGGCUUUGUUGUUCACUUUUUAGAAAUGAUAUGCUAUAGAGGGUUUAGCAAGCAGAGAGUUAUGUUGUCCAUAACUUAUUAUGGCUAAUGUUACUUGUACACUAAUCUUGCCUUUUUUUGUUGAGGGGAAGUGGGAGAGGAGAGGCCGAGAGGAGGAGAAAUACUCGAAGUGCUACAGCAGUAGUUUUCAGACUUCGCCUCCCGGGUCAGGGUUGGGGCCUGAGAAUCUGCAUUUCGCACAGAGUCCCAGGCGGCACCCCUCUGAGGACUCCUCCACUCUGUCAAAAGGCCUAGAAGACCGCUGGGCAGCUAUAGGAGGCGGGCCAGGGCUUCCUUGCCUGAGGGGGGGGCAGGGGGAGCACGGAAAGUUCUUACUGUCCCAGCAGACCCGUUUCUUGAAGGAAGGGACAGGCUCCCAGGACCCCAGGGAUCAGCCUGGUUGGCCCCAGACCCAGAAUGUAUGGGGGUGAAGGCCUAGUCAAAGGCUCCCCCCACCCCACCCCCCUCAGAGAGGGGACUGAGGCUGGAAAGGCGGGGAAGGGCUGGGUUUCCCCAGAUCAAAGCUGGUUCCCCAGCCUUUGAUUCGCAAACAAGCAGACUCUUUAGAGGCUGGCCCGGAGUUUGGGGCAGGCUGGCCUUGGGGCCUGGGGUGAGUGGUCAGAGGCCCCCAGCCCGCUCUCUUUUUGCAUAACAGCUUGGCUGUCUAACAAAAGGACAGUCCUUGAAAGGCCGUAUGGGGCUGUUAAAAGCUUCCGGCAAUGGUUUAAUUGGGGGCGAUUAAAGUGUCCACCCCAGGAAGGCCUGCCCUUCAAAGGCCAACCAGGCCUGGCUCCC
rnacentral:lncRNA from 1 species